UCCACUGCAAAGGUCCAAGAGAAUGGACCAGUGAUGUAACACCCAGUGGCGAGUAGACGUCCCAUUGUGGGCUGUUUGCAAAUCGCUGUAACCCUGCCCAGAAUUUCUUUAGCGUCCUCUGUGGGUUGGUGAGCACAGAGAUGGUCGGGCCUAGGUGAACAGUGGGUGUCCCUAUGGCUGAGCUGUGCCUUGUUUCGCCACUGUCCUCUUCUUGCUUGAUAUUGGAGUUCCAGCCUGAGCCAGAUCUGGGGCAGAAAUUGGAAGGAACUUUGUCUCUGAGGCAACUUUGAGGAGAAACAGGGCUGGGCUUCUGGGACGACCUCAUGCCUCCAAACUUCCCCCCUGAUGUCGUGGGCCAGGGGCUGGUUUCCCCAUGGACAAAUGACUUCUUCUCUAAGGUCUUACUGGUAGUAAAGGAGAAGGCCUGCUGGACAGAAUGCUUUCCUCACAUCCUCCCGCCAAGUGCUAUUGUGUCUUGGGUCCAAGUUGUUAAUAGAAUUUCAUCAAUUUCUAUCUGUUCCACAAAUGAAGAAUUGACAACAAUGCACCAACUCACAUGGCACUGUCUUUAAGUAGUUCUUAGCCAGGAAACAAAUAACUGUAUUGGAACACCCUGCCUACUCACCUGAUCUCAUUUCCAAUGACUUUCUUCUUUACCUAAAGAUAAAGAAAAUUUUGGAAGGAAGACGUUUUGAUGACAUUCAGGACAUUGAGCAUAAUACAGCAAUAGCUUUGACAGCUAUUCCAAAAAAGAGUUCCAAAAGUGCUUUGAAGGGUGGACUAGGUGCUGGUAUCAGUGCACAUCUCCUCAGGUGGAAUGCUUCAAAGGUAAUGAUAGAGACUGAACAUGCCUUUGCCUUAACUCUAAUGUCAGCUCCAGACAAUGAGCUGACAACUUACUUCCGAGUGAGUGGUUCUCCAUUCCUACCUAUGAUCUCAUGGACACCCUUUCAGAAUAUAACUUCCUAGGAAGUUCCUAGAAGUGAAUAUUAUCAGUAAAUUCCUGAAACAAGACCGCUCAGACAAAGAGCCUCUUCACCUACCUAUUGUCCAAGAGCCGCCCAUCAUAGGUGAUGACCACACAGAUGAGGAGUAUUUAUUACAGUUGGUGCCAUUGCUUCUACCACCAACUUCAUCAAAACAAUGACACAAUUUUCCUUGUGCUCGGAGACUCUUCUCUUCCCUGUGUUGCAGUGGAUACCACCUCCAGAUAAGAAAUGCUUAACUGAGAAAUGCUCAUGUUGGGAUAUCAUCGAUGAGACUUUAAUUUGGGCAUGGUGACUGUUUCCCUUGCUGCCACUUGACUCAAUCCCAGGAGCCUCAGUAGAGGAAAUAAUAUUAUACAAGAUGCUCAAAAUGGUGGAAUUGCUCAGUGCUCCCAUAAUUAUACAUUAAUAAUUUUCAUUUUGCACAUGAUAAAUUUAAGAAACAGGAUAUAUUAAAAAGAAAUACUGUAUGAUUUUUUCAAAAAUUCAAAGUAUAUUUAAAUAACUAAUAUAUAAAUUAAGUGCCCUCCUCUGUUCUAAUUCUAUACCUAUAGUUUUUCUCUAAUAAGGGAGUUAUGUGCAUUCUUUUAGUGGAUAAAAACACACAAACACAUGCAUAAGCUACUUUUUAGAGGGGAGAUCUGGAAGUGUGGCCAUACUGUAACACAUUCUUCUGCAAAUUGCCUCUCUCAUUAACUAUAUUUUCAGUGGCCUUUAUUUUCAAUAAUGCAUAUACAUCUGUGUCAUUUGUUGAAUGACAGCAUGAUUAUUUUGUAGAUAGAAGAUAAUUAAAUGUUUUAAACAUUUCUUAUUCAUAGGUAUUUAUGUUAGCACCAAAUUCCUGUACAAUGAACCUCCCUUUUCUAUUGAUAAUUUUGCAUUGUCUAUUACAUAAUAAUAAAUUACUUAGAAGUUCAAUUUGCUGUGAGUAAAGCAUACAUACACUUCAAAUUUUCAAAAUAAUUGCAAGAUUACCUUUUAAAAUGUCAUUAACAACUUCAUCCUCAAAUGGCACUGAAUGAGAUUGCCAACAUUUUUACAACCUCACAGAUAAUGGAUUUUAUAUUUAAAAUUUUUAGGAGUGUGAUCACCCAAACUAUUGUCUUAAAUUGUAUUUAUUUUGGUUUUGAGUUUGAUCAUUUUUUCAUGUUUAUUAGCCCUCUGUAUUUUUUAAUUUCCUUUUUAGGUCUAAUUUUGUGGAUGGAGGGAGGCUUUAGUCCCUGAUUUUUAAGAACUCACUUACUAUUUGGGGAAAUAAGCUUUGAAUUGUCAAGCAUUACAGAUAUUUUUUGCACACUUUUUAACUUUGUUUUUGUUACAAUAAUGUGUAUGAUUGUUAUAUGUCCAAGUAUAACCAUGUUUGCUUUUAUAGCUUCUAAGUUUCAUGUCAUUUUUGGAAAGAUAUUUAUACUGAGUCCAUAAAACCCUUCACCUAUGUUAA